GAUGAACGCUGGCGGCGUGCUUAACACAUGCAAGUCGAACGAUGAAGCUGGAGCUUGCUCUGGUGGAUUAGUGGCGAACGGGUGAGUAACACGUGAGCAACCUGCCCCUGACUCUGGGAUAACAGCCGGAAACGGCUGCUAAUACCGGAUAUGCACCAUGAACGCAUGUUCUGUGGUGGGAAAGUUUUUUCGGUUGGGGAUGGGCUCGCGGCCUAUCAGCUUGUUGGUGAGGUAAUGGCUCACCAAGGCGUCGACGGGUAGCCGGCCUGAGAGGGUGACCGGCCACACUGGGACUGAGACACGGCCCAGACUCCUACGGGAGGCAGCAGUGGGGAAUAUUGCACAAUGGGCGAAAGCCUGAUGCAGCAACGCCGCGUGAGGGAUGACGGCCUUCGGGUUGUAAACCUCUUUUAGCAGGGAAGAAGCGAGAGUGACGGUACCUGCAGAAAAAGCGCCGGCUAACUACGUG
rnacentral:rRNA from 1 species